rnacentral:tRNA from 1 species
UUAAUUGAAGCCAAAAAGAGGCUUAUCACUGUUAAUGAUAGAAAUGAGUUAUAAACUCCGAUUAAG